rnacentral:ncRNA from 1 species
CAAGGGACUUAAUAAAUUUGAGCACCUAGAAUGGAAACAUCUAGUGUGAAUGGAGUCAAAUUCGGGGAAACCUCAGCAUAACAUAGAUGGUGGUAAUCCCGAGCUAAGCCUUUUUUUAAAAAGGAAAGUGUAGAGACUUGACGGCUCCUACCUAAACUAUGAAAGCAACAUAGCAGGGUAAAGAGAAAGUCCAAGCCACAAAUAUAUAUCGAA